GUCUGAUGCCAUCGCCGGAAUAUCACCGUUGGCUACUCCGAUCAUGAUUCCGAUACCGGUAUUUGCUAAAGCUUUGAUAAUUGCCGGGUCGGAUCCGUAUAACCGGACUUUUUGAAUUGAAGUUGAUUGUAGUAACUUGGCUGUUGCCUCCGGUGCCGGUAAAUUAUCCGCAACUUGGCCAUAAUUUAUACCAAUAAAUGACUGCGAUUUCGCGACGAGUACGAAAUGCAAGAGACAGAGAAGAAGGAAGAAGGAUGAAUUGUGAAGCAAAUUAGCCAUGGAUGUUAAUUUGAUGGUGAAAAAUAAUUGACGGAGAAGAAGUAUAAAUAGAGAUAGCUUUUUGAAGUACAAAGUACAAAAACAGAGCAUACAAAAGAAACUUCAAA
rnacentral:misc_RNA from 1 species